GUUCCGCAUUUAGCUUAUAACUUUUCAAAUAAAAGAAGUGUUUUUUUUUAGAAUUUUAGUCUAUUUCUAUUGUUAGAAAAAAAAAAUCUAGCUAAAAUGGUUAGUUUUUUCAGUUCUCUAGUUAAUAAACCACUUUAGUUUUUGGGUUUCCGUGAGACUUGGUCAUACACACAUAUCAUCCUCAGAUUCUUAACACCCUCGUAAUGAGAGUAACUAUCUUCCAACCAAAGUCUCCUAUAUAAUGCAAAACCAUCUUGGUGUAAAAUAUAGAAUUCAUCUUUAAAACCAAGUCCACAUUUGUUUCCAUAUAUCAAAACACUUCAAUCUCCUUGCAUUGAUUGAUCAUCAUGACCGUGACUAAGUUGUUGUUACCAUGCAUUGCUGCAUUCCUCAUUUGUUCCCUCUUAUUUGAAUCGACAAGUGCAACAACUCCUAUCAAUUAUAACGAUCUUCCAAAGAAGAAUAUCAAAUGUAAGCAUGGUAAAUGUCUUCCACAACAGGCGAAUGCAUAUACUAGAGGUUGCUCAAAAAUCCACCGAUGCAGGGGAGGUAGAAAACUUCUGGAGAAGGUUGUUGAUCCCGAGGAUUAAGUCAUAGUUCCGCAUUUAGCUUAUAACUUUUCAAAUAAAAGAAGUGUUUUUUUUAGAAUUUUCGUCAAUUUCUAUUGUUAGAAAAACAAAUCUAGCUAAAAUGGUUAGUUUUUUCGGUUCUCUAGUUAAUAAACCACUUUAGUUUUUGGGUUUCCGUGAGACUUGGUCAUACACACAUAUCAUCCUGAGAUUCUUAACACCCUCGUAAUGAGAGUAACUAUCUUCCAACCGAAGUCUCCUAUAUAAUGCAAAGCCAUCUUGGUGUAAAAUAUAGAAUUCUUCUUUAAAACCAAGUCCACAUUUGUUUCCAUAUAUCAAAACACUUCAAUCUCCUUGCAUUGAUUGAUCAUCAUGGUCGUGACUAAGUUGUUGUUACCAUGCAUUGCUGUAUUCCUCAUUUGUUCCCUCUUAUUUGAAUCGACAAGUGCAACAACUCUUAUCAAUUAUAACGAUCUUCCAAAGAAGAAUAUCAAAUCUAAGCAUGGUAAAUGUCUUCCACAACAGGCGAAUGCAUAUACUAGAGGUUGCUAAAAAAUCCAACGAUGCAGGGGAGCUAGAAAACUUCUAGAGAAGGUUGUUGACCCCGAGGAUUAAGUCAUAGUUCCGCAUUUAACUUAUAACUUUUAAAAUAAAAGAAGUGUUUUUUUUUUUAGAAUUUUCGUCCAUUUCUAUUGUUAGAAAAAAAAAUCUUGCUAAAAUGGUCAGUUUUUUCAGUUCUCUAGUUAAUAAACCACUUUAGUUUUUGGGUUUCUGCGAGACUUGGUCAUACACACAUAUCAUCCUGAGAUUCUUAACACCCUCGUAAUGAGAGUAACUAUCUUCCAACCAAAGUCUCCUAUAUAAUGCAAAGCCAUCUUGGUGUAAAAUAUAGAAUUCUUCUUUAAAACCAAGUCCACAUUUGUUUCCAUAUAUCAAAACACUUCAAUCUCCUUGCAUUGAUUGUUCAUCAUGGCCGUGACUAAGUUGUUGUUACCAUGCAUUGCUGCAUUCCUCAUUUGUUCCUUCUUCAUUUGAAUCGACAAGUGCAACAACUCCUAUCAAUUAUAACGAUCUUCCAAAGAAGAAUAUCGAAUGUAAGCAUGGUAAAUGUCUUCCACAACAGGCGAAUGCAUAUACUAGAGGUUGCUCAAAAAUCCAACGAUGCAGGGGAGCUAGAAAACUUCUGGAGAAGGUUGUUGACCCCGAGGAUUAAGACUUGGAUCUACAUAUGGAGAAAGAUGACCCACAGUUUGCACUAGACCCAGAAUUUUUUCACCGGGAUGUUGUUGUUUUAGGCCAUUACUAAAUCGACAAAUUUUAGUCAUAGUUAUUUUCCAUUACAUCGCAAAUAAAAUGUUCAUCAUUCACUACAAUAAUCCAAAUAUAUAAUAUCCUG
rnacentral:lncRNA from 1 species